UACAUGGGGUGCAAACGUUGCUCGGAAUUAUUGGGCGUAAAGCGCGCGUAGGCGGUUUCUCAAGUCGGAUGUGAAAGCCCUCGGCUUAACUGAGGAAGUGCACCCGAAACUGAGUAGCUAGAGUACCAAAGAGGGUCGCGGAAUUCCCGGUGUAGAGGUGAAAUUCGUAGAUAUCGGGAGGAACACCGGUGGCGAAGGCGGCGACCUGGGUGGAUACUGACGCUGAGGCGCGAAAGCGUGGGGAGCAAACAGG
rnacentral:rRNA from 1 species